rnacentral:tRNA from 1 species
GGUGGGUUGGCUCAGUGGGUAGAGCUUAGGUCUCGUAACCGAAAGGUUGCGGGAUCGAAUCCCGCUAGAGGCUG